GUCUUUUAGAAUAUAAAUUUAAAGUCUAAUCUGCCCAUUGAUAAAAAUUGAAUGGCCGCAGUAUUUUAACUGUGCAAAGGUAGCAUAAUCAUUAGUCUUUUAAUUGAAGGCUGGAAUGAAUGAUUGAACGAGGCAUAUACUGUCUUAUUUAUAUAAAUUGAAUUUUAUUUUUUAGUUAAAAAGCUAAAAUUUUUAUAAAAGACGAGAAGACCCUAUAGAUCUUAAUAAUUUUUUAAUUUAUUUUUUUAAGUUUGUAUUAAAAUUAAUUAAUAAAAUUAUUUUAUUGGGGUGAUAUCAAAAUUUAAAAAACUUUUGAUAAUUUAUUUUCAUAAAUUAAUGAAUUUAUUGAUCCUUUAUUAUUGAUUAAAAAUUUAAGUUACCUUAGGGAUAACAGCGUAAUUAUUUUGGAGAGUUCAUAUCGAUAAAAUAGAUUGCGACCUCGAUGUUGGAUUAAGAUUAAUAUUAGGUGUAGCAGUUUAAUAUAUUAAGUCUGUUCGACUUUUAAUUUCUU
rnacentral:rRNA from 1 species